CACCUCGGGGCGCCCAAUAGGGCUGAGAUGCGCAAGCGAACCCGUAGAACCUGAACCGGCUAGCACCGGCGGAGGGAAGGUUUGGAA
rnacentral:ncRNA from 1 species